rnacentral:rRNA from 1 species
GACGAACGCUGGCGGCGUGCUUAACACAUGCCAGUCGAACGGAAAGGCCCGGCUUUUGUGGGUUGCUCGAGUGCCGCACGGGUGAGUAACACGUGUGUAACCUCUCCUUAACUUUGGGAUAAAUCCAGGAAACUGGGGCGAUUACCGGAUAGGAUCUCCUGCUGCAUGGUGGUGGUUGGAAAGUUUCGGCGGUUGGGGAUGGACUCGCGGCUUAUCAGCUUGUUGGGGGGGUUGUGGAUUACCAAGGCUUUGACGGGUAGCCGGCCUGAGAGGGUGACCGGCGACAUGGGGACUGAGAUACGGACCAGACUCCUACGGGACGCAGCAGUGGGGAAUAUUGCACAAUGGCCGGAAGCGUGAUGCAGCAACGCCGCGUGCGGGAUGACGGGCUUCGGGUUGUAAACCGCUUUCGCCUGUGCCGAAGCGUGAGUGACGGUAAUGGGUAAAGAAGCACCGGCUAACUACGUG